UCUUGCUCUGCGCGUGUUUGGCUUGAUGAUUGCGGCAAAUUACUCACUCACACCCGUCAUCCUACUUCAAGUCGUCAGUUUGGAAAAGUUUACCCCCGCGUACGGUCUUCUCCUACUUGUGCAAGGGAUCGGAAACCUGAUCGGACCACCCAUUGCUGGCCUCCUCUACGACUACACGGGAAAGUACGCCUGGUCAUUUUGGAUCGCUGGGGUGGGA